AGAUGUAUUUCCAGAUUUUAUUGUCAAAUUGAUUUUAAAUGUUGCAUUUGUGACAAGCUUUUUCAAUAAAUUAUAUCUGAAAUCUAAAUUCUCUGGGUGUAUGCCAACUGUACAUUUCAUUGAGGAAGGCGAAUGGGGUCGUUGUGUUGUGCGUGUGGUAAUUGUGACUUGUACUAUAUAACGUUUGUUUUCUAUUUUUCUUUUAGACUGUGGGUCGACUGUUUGAUGUCUUCAACCACAGAAACCCAGGGACUGGAGGACACAAGCUGCACUCCGCCACAUCAUAGCACCAGUGGUUUUCUGCAGGAAACAAGAGCCUAUUUGUUAUCCUUAAAGACAAAAGACAACAAGCCAAACUAUUGCACAGCAAGACAUACAGUUACCACAGGAUUUGUCGUAGUUAUCUCACUGCUACAGCUGCUUCCAGAAACUCUUACUAAGCAGAAGUAUGUGUUGACCUACGAGGUCAGACAAGACCAUGUGGAGCUGUUCUUUAACGCUGUUCGGAGAUUGGUUCAAGGCUGCCUUCUGUCACCUUGUGACGCG